UACAGAGGGGGGCAAGCGUUGUUCGGAAUUACUGGGCGUAAAGGGCGCGUAGGCGGCCUGCUAAGUCGAACGUGAAAUCCCUGGGCUCAACCCAGGAACUGCGUCCGAUACUGGUUGGCUUGAAUCCGGGAGAGGGACGUGGAAUUCCAGGUGUAGCGGUGAAAUGCGUAGAUAUCUGGAGGAACACCGGUGGCGAAGGCGACGUCCUGGACCGGCAUUGACGCUGAGGCGCGAAAGCCAGGGGAGCAAACGGGG
rnacentral:rRNA from 1 species